AACGAACGUUGGCGGCAUGGAUUAGGCAUGCAAGUCGAGGGAAUCCCAGCAAUGGGGGAACCGGCGUAAGGGGCAGUAAGGCAUGGGUACCUACCCCGGGGUUCGGAAUAGCCACCAGAGAUGGUGGGUAAUACCGGAUGACCUCGUGAGAGCAAAGAUUUAUCGCCCUGGGAGGGGCCCAUGUGAUAUUAGCUAGUUGGUGAGGUAACGGCUCACCAAGGCGAAGAUGUCUAGCGGGUGUGAGAGCACGACCCGCGCCACUCGCACUGAGACACUGGCGAGACACCUGCGGGUGGCUGCAGUCGAGGGUCUUCGGCAAUGGGCGAAAGCCUGACCGAGCGAUGCCGCGUGCGCGAUGAAGGCCUUCGGGUUGUAAAGCGCGAAAGAGGGGAGAAAACCCGAAAGGGUUGAUCUAUCCUCAGUAAGCUCGGGCUAAGUUCGUGCCAGCCGCCGCGGUAAGAC
rnacentral:rRNA from 1 species